CAGCCCAGCCGCCAGGAGCCCCUUGGCUUCCUGCGCUGCCGGGACUGGAGCUGGAUUUCACCUGCCUCCCUGGAGAACACCGAGGAGUGAAGCGCUUGCCAAAGCAGGCAAGCUUGAAAAUGUCACCACAGCAAGUGUGAAGGAAAUGCCAGCCACAGCACGCACUGUGAGAACGACCACCAGACCUCCACGGGCAGCAGAGGUGAUGCAAUUAAUCCGCAUUAAGCUGUGCAGUGAAAAUGCCAGAUGGAUUCUGCUCUGGGACUUCCACGGUUGCAGCAUCAAGUCUCUGUGUCGGACUGCUGUGUGAACCACUGGCACAUGUAUUUUAGAUGUGCCCCAAGUUAGGCACGGCUGGGAUUUCAGCAGAAGCAUAGUGCCUUUGGGGACCUGGUCGGAAAGCAGCCUCAUCCCACUGGGCAGUGUGCAGUGCAGGCAGUACAGGUCUCUGCAGGUCUCUAUCUAAGACACACCAAUGGAAGACGUGAGAUCAACUCGUGUCAGUUCAAAUACAGAUCAAAUACCAAAAGCAGCUGCUUGGAAAGCUGAGCCAGUCAUUCUAGUAAGCAUACAUGGAUGUAUGCAAAUGUUUGUGUAGACCCAUACAUGCAUAUCCACACAAAGGCAAGGAGAGAGGGCUGGGUAAAUAGAGGCACACGUGAGGACCAGAGAGCCUGCAAUGGCUGCUCCAUCAGAUUUCAUUGGAGUUGGAAAUGUGAGCACACCAAAAUGUUAUUGGAACAUUUGUACCUCUCGUGCAGGCUACCAACAGCACUGGUGCUGCUCUGUGUUGCUACAGAUUGGAGGUGUAAUCACAGCUUACUUUCAGAGACAUUUCCCAGAGCAGAGUGCUUUUUCCCCCAUAAAUUUCUUUAUUAGAUCAUGAGAAGCCAACUUCUGUUUUGAGUGUAAUAUUUAAUUUUUCACAAGCAAAAACCUCUAUAAUUAACAGUAUUUCCUGUGCCUUUUAUGCAUAUUGUGACAAUUCUGCUUUGCAGGGGUGAGCACAACAUGGCACUAUCAAUGUGUUUUACGUUUUCUGGCAUUUUACAUAUCAUAACCCAUUAGCAGUCUCCUGUGGGUCUUCCCAAGCUUAUAAUUCCUUAUUAAACUAAUGUUCAGAUGAAAUCUCUGUGGUAUUCCUCAGAUAAGAUUUAAGUAAACAGAAUUUUACCUCUGUUUCAGGACAGUGGAGUCAAGAUCCUUGCAACAUUUUGAGUGUAUGCUAGUACGUUUUAUUCCCAACAUGUAGCUAGCUGCCAAAUGUUGCUCAGCAGUAACUACUGUGGCCACAAGAGAGAAGUAAAGGGGAAAAAUUAAACAUUCUGUGAAACCCAUGUCAUGUAUUGAGGUUUUAGGGGUGAUAAAAAGCAUGAUUGGGCCUCCCUUUAAUCUGCUCAUAGUAUCAUGCCAAAAUAAGUUCCCCUUAGGACCUUCUCCAUUUCUACCUCCCAUGUUACAUCCUCCUUAGAACAUCAACUGACAUAUGCCCAGGUGCUGAUAAUUUUCAAUUCAGCCAAAUUUUAUAUAUCCAAAAAACCAAUCAGGCUGGGAUUUACCCUUCUCUCUGCAGUUUGUGCAAAUAUCAAUAGGACAUAUCUCUUGCUUUUAUUUCAUGAGCAGAAAAACAGAAGAUUAAAGACAGCUUGAAAAAUAAGAUAGAGUUGGAGGAUUUGGGAAAUACUAAUUGAUUUCAGUUUCUAAUAUUAGUGAGUACAGCUAAGAGCAACAGCAGCAGCUGUGAUUCAGUAUAAGUUUACUCAAAUCAGGUAAGCUGACUUGACUCAUUAUCUUUAAAGAAAGGAAAAAGCAAUGCAGAAAUUUUAACCAUAUUUUCUCAUUUGGUACCAGGUAAAAGGUUUUUUUAUGUCUCAGCUCCUUUUCUUUAUGUGCUAAUAAAAGCUUUUCUUACCAGCAUGGACAUUUAAGAGAUUAUGAAAUUUUCUCCAAGAUGGAGAUUUAUAUGCGAAAGAAAGAAUCUUAUACUAAUUAUUCAAAAUAAUUGUAUUCAAUUUAUUAACAAUUAUUUGAAUUUUUUUAUUAACUUGGAGUAGUGGAGAAAUAUUUUACUCAGACUUCUUAUUAUUCACAUUUAAUUUUAAACAUGCUUUUACCAAUCUAUUGCUCAUUAGCAAUGAUGUAAAAUCACAGAGUAUAAAAGUAUCUCUUGUUGCAGUUACAUUUUUUUUUCUAUGUUUGUUUUGGAGACUACACUUGUACACAGAAUAAAGCUUAUAAUUAUUUUUCUCUGUAUUUUUCUCUGUAUUAAUCUAAUUCAUGAAAUCUGUAACAAGUUAAUUUCAUUAAUUCUAUUGUUACAGACCCUGCAGUUCUCCCAGACAGAACUCUGCAAGCAGCAAAUGGUUCUUGCCAACCCACACCAAGCAUUCCAUACUAUUAAGUCUUUUCUUCCACAUAACUCAGUGUAUUACCAUUUAUGUACUUAAAUAGCAUUAGACAAAACUCUGAGACUUGAGAGAGAUUCUAUUUAUUGACUGAUAGAAGAAUGUGGAUUCUGUGAGAGAAGGUGGGGAAUCCCAGUCAAAAUCUUUCAUUUUCUAUGAAACAUUUAUUGUCAGCGAUAUCAUUCUUGUGGUGGUUUAGUGGGGCAAAAGGGUUGUGAGUGAAGAGAGAGACAUGCAAGCAAAGGAAGCAGAGGAAAAGAUUGAUUCAGAGAUGUGAAUAAAUAGUAACACUUUCUUUUAAACAAGCAAGUACUGACCUCAGCUGUAGGACUCUUUCACUCAGUUUGUUUUUCUGUGCCAGACUAGAAUCUUGAAGUAUAUUUCUUUUAUGUUUGUCUUUGGUUGGCUUGUUGUUUUGGGGUGGAGUUUUUUUUUUGUUUGUUUGUUUUCAUUAAAAGGAAAAAAUUAAAAAAUAGAAGCAAACACAGGUGAACUACUAGAAAAAAUAUACAAUAUUAAUAUUUGGUAUUUUCUCAACCUUAAUUUCGGGUCAUGACAUGCAAGUUCUUGUCUGACUUUUUCUCAAGACUUUUGAGUUAUUCAGGUAAGAAGAUAUUUGGGGUUUGUGUUUUAAUACAGGGAAGAAAGUGGCUUAGGUUUAUUGACAGUUAAAUUGCUAUUUAAUUUUAUUAUUGCAGUUUACAUUGGAAAUAUGCAGAAUUCCAUGUAGAUUCCCAUUUUAUUACUACAUAAAUCUCAACAAUUCAUAUUUUUGGUGGAAAGCAAGCAAUUAAACUUCUUUUAUCUGCCUACAUUUGUCAGUUUCACAGAAUUCACAUCUGUGAUUUUUGCUGACAUGCUACAAGCUCUUUCUCCUUUCUUCUAACCAGAGUUUCUGAAUGAUUCAAGCUUGUUUUUCUUACAUCAGAGAGUGGAACUUGGUGCAAUAAGGUUCACUGCUUUCUUUUGCAAUUUUUUAAUGAAUAGUAGAACAACAUUGCUGAAGUUUUUGGUGCUUUUCAAAGUAAUUUAAUUUUUGUCCUCUAUGAUUAUUUUCAUGUCUAUGCUUCCCAGUAAGCACUUAGUUUCUGUCAGAAUACUCGGCUGUUACAUUUUGGGGUUUUUCUGGCACAGUCUUUCAGUGUCAGGGUUUUAGGAAGGAAAGGUCUAAUGAAUCAAACCCUGUGCUGGAAUGGGAUGUGGCUCCAGACUAGAGACAUCUAAAUUUAGUGUACACAUCUGAAUUCCUAAGUGUCCUAAGCUCCCUGCAGAGCCAAUGGAAAUUUAUUCAACACAGUGAUGGGAUUGUAGAGAAAAGUUCAGCUUUGAAUGUGCAUUUUGACUUCUGGGUGAGCUCCAUCAUGUCUAAGCAUUCUAGUGGAAGGACAAACCCCAAAGCAGAGGUGCCUUGUGCUGUUUGAGGUUCCUAAGACUAUCCAAAGAUGCUUGCAAAAGGUGAACAGAUAGUUUUUGACCUGCCCUGAAUUGCCUUGCCAAGGAAAUUGCCUUAUAGGUUUUCUGUAUGUUUCUGUAUGUUAGACCAAAUAUUCUGUGAAAUUUUACAGGUUUUGGACACGUAUACACAGCCACCUGAAUCCACACUACAUCCCUUUAGGCUCUAACAGGAGAUCAAAUCUCACAUAUAAAGAACACUGGCAUGAUAGACACACAGAUGUUUGAAUCUUCAUCCUUAGAAUAACACAGCAAAAGCCUUAAGACAGCAAAGUUUGUUGAAAAAGAGUAGAAAGUAAACCUAAGGAAUGAUCCCUUUCUCAUUUUUCUGAAAGAGCUGAAACCUUUACCUGCUUUUAUGGGGGUGGUAUCCUGGUAAAGGACCUGAAAUCUUGGAAACAAGUGGCCUAUUUGAAUCAAGAGAAAAGAAAACAAGAGGCCGGGUUCCAGGGAAGCUAGCCAGGGAUUUUAGGUAUCUUUAAGUAUGUGGAAUAAACAGAAAGAACGAAAUGUCUUGCUACACAAACAAAGCUAUAACUUAAUCAGCAAGACAGAGACUUUGUAGGAUAAAUCAAAGGAUUGGAGUGUUGAUAGAGAGCAGUACAAGCUGUUCAAGAAAGAAAGGCUGGGAAAAGGGAAGGCAACAUUGCAUUACCAAGAAUGUGUUUAUGAUUUGCUAAAGAGAAGGCAGAUACAUCAAACAUCUCUAAGAGAACCAAAAACAAGGUUUCAAAAGAUUGGUCUACCUCAAAUCAAUGUGGAGAAGAUUGAACAUCUUAAUCACACAAAAAAGGAGACAUUUCUUGGAGCUGUUGUUUUACAUCUUUAAGUGGUAGAGUUUAUACCUAGAUUUUAUUUUCUCUUAAUGGUGUGAAACAGCUGAGAAAGACAAGAUGAAGGCCUCUAAAUCUGGUAAAAGGGAAUUUGAAAUAACAGGAUAGAGAACAGCAGAGAACAGCAUUUCAAAAAAAGAAGGUGAUGAAAACUUAGAUGACUGAUAGGAAAAGUCUGAUGAUUUUAAUGGAAGCAAUAUUGGCAAGAAAGCUAGUAGACAUUCAGAAUGUAUUACCAGGAGUGUAACAUGUGAGAAGCUUGUUUUGCUCUAGGUGAGCAGAAGUUUGCAUCAACUUCAAACCUCAUGUUUGACAGAAGUGUAAAAAGAAACCUCCUGCAGGGAGCCUAGAGGUCAGCAUCAUGGAUAAUAGAGUAAUGUGAUCUUUCAGGAAUAUUUCAGCUGGGCUUGUUCUGCCUAAGAAAAGAUACCUUGAAGUUAUGUCAUAUAGUUUAUAGUUGUGAAAAGGGGAGUACUAAAGAGACAGCUAACAUAUUCCUCAGAAGUAGAAAUAGUGAUCAAUUUUUCAUCUUAGCAAGGAAUGCCUAAACUACACAUAAGUAGGAUGUUCCUAACUAUAAAAAGUCUUAAAUACUGGGAGAUUUCACAUCUUCUGGUUGUAGAAAGUUGUGGAAUCCAUCUCUUGAAACAUAUGAACCUUUUUCUAAGAGUGAGGGUUUUUCCUGCUUAAGGAUUCUCUAAGUGUCUGAAAUGACAUAUUUUUUCUCCAAAACUUAGUGUACCCCUUUUUAUCAAUGGUAUUUUGGGAAACUGAGUUUUCAUGCUGCUAAGAAAGACAUGCAGCCAAUCUGUUUGCACUCUCAGAUGCCAUUUGAACAGCGUGAUUCAACUUCGGAAGCAUAUGUAGCUUAAGAGACCAAAUACAGAUUCUGUCCUGGCCUUGACAUCUGAAAAGGGUGAUUUCUUUCCUUUGGACAGAGUUCUGUAAAAGCCAGGAGGGUACCAGUGCAUACCAGUGCAGGAAUUUGGCUUGUGUCCACUGUGGUUUAAAACAGUGGACUUCAAAUGAGGAAUUCAACUGCCUUCCACAGACAGUCUUUUAGAUUUCUUAGGGUUCCCCAAAAGUCUAAGUAGGCAUAACCCCAGCCUAACAGAAGGUCUGCACCCACCCAAAGAGCAGGAGGGAUAUUCCACUGUCCAGGAGCUUCACAGACCUAAAAAGACACCAGGAAACCCGUCCUGAAGGUGCUUUUUUUGGUAGUUUUAUUGCUUCCAUAUUUUCUUCCAACUAGCAUUGUGAUAAAGCAUACAUAUUUUUUUCCUUAACCUCUACUUGGAACUCUGUUUUAAAUUCAAAUCACAAAUUACCCAAGCUUUCAAAAAAACAUAAUUAGUCUUCUCUCUCCACCAGACAAAUACAUCAGUAAUGCUUUUAACAUCUGAGAAAGGGAGAAGUUUUUUAAAUUGUGUGGCUUUUACAGUAUAUUAGUGAUCUGGCUCAUAAAAAGGCAGAAUGACAACAGUUCAGCUUGGUGGUGGGUUGUGUUGAGAGUGUGUAGAACCUGAGAGGAUUUAAAAUUCACUCAUUUUGCAGACAGGCUCUAGAGCAAGUAGGGGAUGGCAGACAGUCAGGCUUGAGUCAUCACUUCUCUUCCUGCCUUGUAAAUACUUCUUUUGUGCUUUUCCUGAGACUCAGUUUUCGUCCUUAUGAUAUGGCAGCCCUCUUUCUUUAUCACUCCAAUAUGACCGUGCACUCAGGAUCCAGGAAGAAAUCAUAAAUACCUGUAAAACCAUUAAAGACCCUGGUCAUAAACUUGCUGGUCUCAUCCUAGUGUUGGCAGUGAGGACGUUGCAGGAAAUUUUCAGCAUCUACAAUCCUUGAUGGGAAGAAUGGGAUGCCCAUGUUGACAGUUUCUUCUUCCUCACUCUAGGAUCCAUACAGGAUCAUUUUUGUGUGCUUGAUUAUUCUGUAGAAGGCAAAGCAGCUUUGAGAUGGGAUUUUUUUAGUUAAAUAAAUUUCCAGAACCAUCUGAGCAAAACCAAAAAGAUUGCAUUGCAGCC